CCUUAAUAGACAGAGUAGUAUUUAUAGACAGCACAUGGCAACAGUGUCAUCAGAUAAUAACUGACGAGAAGUUGAAAGAACUUCAAAGAGUAAAACUUGAAAAAGCUGUAACACACUUUUGGAGGCCUCAGAGGAAGCCUGAAACAUGCCUGGCCACCAUUGAAGCUGUUUACUACUUUUUCAAGGAAUAUGAUCAGCACAUUUUAAAAAGGUUUGAAAAUGCUUCCACUGUACCAUAUCUGUGUAAAAAAAAAUCCUCCCCUAAUUUUGCCCUGUCAAAUAAGCGCUCAGGGCAAAAAUUGUUUUAAAAAUAGACUAGCAAGCGCAGCCCACAAAUAUCAUUGUUCUCCCCCCCUCCCUCCAAUCCCCAAUCAACAAUGCUGCCCUUGCUGGAAGUACUUAAUGAGCUCUUUU